rnacentral:rRNA from 1 species
GUGGGGAAUCUUGCGCAAUGGGCGAAAGCCUGACGCAGCCAUGCCGCGUGAAUGAUGAAGGUCUUAGGAUUGUAAAAUUCUUUCACCGGGGACGAUAAUGACGGUACCCGGAGAAGAAGCUCCGGCUAACUUCGUGCCAGCAGUCGCGGUAAUACGAAGGGGGCUAGCGUUGCUCGGAAUUACUGGGCGUAAAGGGCGCGUAGGCGGACAGCUUAGUCAGAGGUGAAAGCCCAGGGCUCAACCUUGGAAUUGCCUUUGAUACUGGCUGUCUUGAGUUUGGGAGAGGUGAGUGGAACUCCGAGUGUAGAGGUGAAAUUCGUAGAUAUUCGGAAGAACACCAGUGGCGAAGGCGACUCACUGGCCCAAUACUGACGCUGAGGCGCGAAAGCGUGGGGAGCAAACAGGAUUAGAAACCCGUGUAGUCC